rnacentral:rRNA from 1 species
UAACACAUGCAAGUCGAGCGGAAACGACACUAACAAUCCUUCGGGUGCGUUAAUGGGCGUCGAGCGGCGGACGGGUGAGUAAUGCCUAGGAAAUUGCCUUGAUGUGGGGGAUAACCAUUGGAAACGAUGGCUAAUACCGCAUGAUGCCUACGGGCCAAAGAGGGGGACCUUCGGGCCUCUCGCGUCAAGAUAUGCCUAGGUGGGAUUAGCUAGUUGGUGAGGUAAUGGCUCACCAAGGCGACGAUCCCUAGCUGGUCUGAGAGGAUGAUCAGCCACACUGGAACUGAGACACGGUCCAGACUCCUACGGGAGGCAGCAGUGGGGAAUAUUGCACAAUGGGCGAAAGCCUGAUGCAGCCAUGCCGCGUGUAUGAAGAAGGCCUUCGGGUUGUAAAGUACUUUCAGUUGUGAGGAAGGGUGUGUAGUUAAUAGCUGCGCAUCUUGACGUUAGCAACAGAAGAAGCACCGGCUAACUCCGUGCCAGCAGCCGCGGUAAUACGGAGGGUGCGAGCGUUAAUCGGAAUUACUGGGCGUAAAGCGCAUGCAGGUGGUUCAUUAAGUCAGAUGUGAAAGCCCGGGGCUCAACCUCGGAACUGCAUUUGAAACUGGUGAACUAGAGUACUGUA